UCGGGAAUUUUGGGCAAUGGGCGAAAGCCUGACCCAGCAACGCCGCGUGAAGGAUGAAGUAUUUCGGUAUGUAAACUUCGAAAGAAUAGGAAGAAUAAAUGACGGUACUAUUUAUAAGGUCCGGCUAACUACGUGCCAGCAGCCGCGGUAAUACGUAGGGACCAAGCGUUGUUCGGAUUUACUGGGCGUAAAGGGCGCGUAGGCGGCAAUUCAAGUCAUCUGUGAAAUCUCCGGGCUUAACUCGGAACGGUCAGAUGAUACUGCUUUGCUAGAGUGCAGAAGGGGCAAUCGGAAUUCUGGUGUAGCGGUGAAAUGCGUAGAUAUCAAGAGGAACACCUGAGGUGAAGACGGGUUGCUGGGCUGACACUGACGCUGAGGCGCGAAAGCCAGGGGAGCAAACGGGAUU
rnacentral:rRNA from 1 species